rnacentral:rRNA from 1 species
UACGUAGGGGGCAAGCGUUGUCCGGAAUUAUUGGGCGUAAAGAGCGUGUAGGCGGCCAGAUAAGUCCGCUGUGAAAUCUCGAGGCUCAACUUCGAGCUGUCGGUGGAAACUAUCUGGCUAGAGUCCGGAAGAGGAGAAUGGAAUUCCUGGUGUAGCGGUGAAAUGCGUAGAUAUCUGGAGGAACACCGGUGGCGAAGGCGGCAUCCUGGACCGGCAUUGACGCUGAGGAGCGAAAGCCAGGGGAGCAAACGGG